UUUAAUCUGAAAUGUUAUUAAAUAGUUUUAUUAUUCUUUUUAUGCACAUGCUCAACGUUCGGAAGGUCCUGUAAACAACUUUCACCAAAAGAACUUUAACAGAGGACAAUGACUCAUUUCAACGGUGGAUUUCGAGGAGACAAUUUUACUCUCGAAGUCAUCAUUGCACAGGAGCAUCAAAAUAAUUACAUAAAAUAGAUAAAAAUAAUAAAAAAUCAAAACGUUUUAAUUUAAAAUUUUAUUAAUUAGGUGCAUUAUUUUAUUGGUGGAUAGGAAACAUUAAAAAAUAAUAUACCACCACUAUCUUCUCAUACUAACGUUAGGAGGCGUUAACUGAACUAACAGCUACAACCAUACAUAUCUUCUUUGUUUGAUUCCAUGGCUUCUUCCGGAUGCACGCACAUCAGCUUGACUUGGGUUUUAGCAUCAUAUACACAGUGUUUAAAUCAGUACGGUUUAGCGGGUUUUUUUUUUUUUUUUAAUGAAUGUACGUAAGUAUUCUUCCUGUUCGUAAUCUACGAGCGUAUGAAACUCGAAUUUCACUAAUAACGUAUUGCUACACUUGGUUCUUACGGCGAUAAUAUCAACCUGGAUGUGAUAAUGUAUCGUACAAAGCUGGAAAUGAAGAAAUGCAAUUAAUGUACACUCUUACUAAUGAUAAUGCAACGAAGCAGGACGUCUUUAUGCGGCUUUUUUUCUACUACACGUGUUCCAGACGAAGAGAAAUUUCAACUAUUAGAUAAAUAUCUACAAUAUAUCUAUUCAUUUGAAUUAAAAAUAUUUUACGCCGAACCUGUUAAUUAGAAUGACAGUAAUCCCUCAGAGAUUCUUACAGAAUAAUAGAAAUUACUCUAGGUAGAGAUCGGUAAUUAUAAAUCGUGUGUUAAUUUUGACAUUCUUCAAUUAAAAAUAAUAAUACAAAAUAUAAAAUAACAAGUCGAGAAAUUCGUUAUGUGAUUGAUUUAUUACUAUAUCUUAAAUCAUAUCAAAUAAUAAUGUGGUAAUAUACAUUUUCUAUAUAAAUUUUUUUGUUUUAAUAAAUCAUUUGUCGAAUUACUCAACAAAGACAACAAUACAAUUAUAAUGUACAGAUGAAGAUGAAAAUAUAUUGAAUUACUCCGAUGAAUCUUCAAUAGUA